UACGUAGGUGGCAAGCGUUGUCCGGAUUUACUGGGCGUAAAGAGCGCGCAGGCGGUCGGAUAAGUCGAAUGUGAAAGCCCCCGGCUCAACUGGGGAGGGUCACGCGAUACUGCUCGACUCGAAGGCAGGAGAGGGAAGUGGAAUUCCCGGUGUAGUGGUGAAAUGCGUUGAGAUCGGAAGGAACGCCCGUGGCGAAAGCGAGUUCCUGGACGUCGGCUGACGCUGAGACGCGAAAGCCAGGGGAGCGAACGGG
rnacentral:rRNA from 1 species